GAUGAACGCUGGCGGCGUGCUUAACACAUGCAAGUCGAACGGAAAGGCCCAAGCUUGCUUGGGUACUCGAGUGGCGAACGGGUGAGUAACACGCGGGUGAUCUGCCCUGCACUUCGGGAUAAGCCUGGGAAACUGGGUCUAAUACCGGAUAGGACCACAUUUUGGAUGGUGUGGUGGAAAGUUUUUCGGUGUGGGAUGAGCUCGCGGCCUAUCCGCUUGUUGGUGGGGUGAUGGCCUACCACGGCGUCGACGGGUAGCCGGCCUGAGAGGGUGUACGGCCACAUUGGGACUUAGAGACGGCACAGACUCCUACUGGAGGCCGAUGGGGGGAAUAUUGCUCAAUCGGUGCCAGCCUGAUGCAGCGGCGCCGCGUGUGGGAUGACGGCCUUCUGGGUGUAAAAUCCCUUCGCUAGGGACGAAGCGUUAUGUGACGGUACCUGGAGAAGAAGCACCGGCUAACUACGUG
rnacentral:rRNA from 1 species